rnacentral:rRNA from 1 species
AGAGUUUGAUCAUGGCUCAGGAUGAACGCUGGCGGCGUGCUUAACACAUGCAAGUCGAACGGGAAUCACUUUUUAGCUUGCUAAGUUGUGAUUCUAGUGGCGGACGGGUGAGUAACGCGUGGGUAACCUGCCUUAUACCGGGGGACAACAGUUGGAAACGACUGCUAAUACCGCAUAAGCGCACAGUAUCGCAUGAUACAGUGUGAAAAACUCCGGUGGUAUAAGAUGGACCCGCGUCUGAUUAGCUAGUUGGCGGUGCAACGGACCACCAAGGCGACGAUCAGUAGCCGGCCUGAGAGGGCAAACGGCCACAUUGGGACUGAGACACGGCCCAAACUCCUACGGGAGGCAGCAGUGGGGAAUAUUGCACAAUGGAGGAAACUCUGAUGCAAGCGACGCCGCGUGAGUGAAGAAGUAUUUCGGUAUGUAAAGCUCUAUCAGCAGGAAAGAAAAUGACGGUACCUGACUAAGAAGCCCCGGCUAACUACGUGCCAGCAGCUGC